CACAGGGCUCUGAAGGACCCAAAGGGAAACCAGGGCCCACCGGGCUGAUGGGACCAAAGGGGAUUCUGGGACUUCAAGGUGAAAAGGGAGAUGUCGGACAAAAAGGACCAAAGGGCCAUGUUGGUAUUAGAGGAUUGCAAGGGCCCAUUGGACCACCAGGAGAAAAGG